rnacentral:rRNA from 1 species
GACGAACGCUGGCGGCGUGCUUAACACAUGCAAGUCGAACGAUGAUCAGGAGCUUGCUCCUGUGAUUAGUGGCGAACGGGUGAGUAACACGUGAGUAACCUGCCCCUGACUCUGGGAUAAGCGUUGGAAACGACGUCUAAUACUGGAUACGACUGCCGGCCGCAUGGUCUGGUGGUGGAAAGAUUUUUUGGUUGGGGAUGGACUCGCGGCCUAUCAGCUUGUUGGUGAGGUAUGGCUCACCAAGGCGACGACGGGUAGCCGGCCUGAGAGGGUGACCGGCCACACUGGGACUGAGACACGGCCCAGACUCCUACGGGAGGCAGCAGUGGGGAAUAUUGCACAAUGGGCGAAAGCCUGAUGCAGCAACGCCGCGUGAGGGACGACGGCCUUCGGGUUGUAAACCUCUUUUAGUAGGGAAGAAGCGAAAGUGACGGUACCUGCAGAAAAAGCACCGGCUAACUACGUGCCAGCCGCCGCAGUAA